GGAUAGCACUUUAAGCUCCCGUUUUAGUAUAAUAACUCUUUUAAGGGAUUAUAACUUGGACUUCCAAUAUGUCGACAUGGAUAGUGGGGACCAAAAUAUAACCUUUAACUUGAAUGAGACAACUAUAAAAUGUGAAGACAGUGUCAAACUCUUGGGUGUCACAAUAGACUUCAAACUUAAAGUUGAUGUCCAUAUUUCAAGCAUUUGCAAGAAAGCCUCAAGACAGCUUAAUGUUUUAAAGCGAAUAGGUCAUAACCUUUGGAAAAUUAAACAUAUAUUACUCAUUUAUCAUAUCAAGUUUCAAUUUCUGUCCAAUUACUUGGCAUUUUUGUGGCGAGGUGCAUACUAAGAAGCUUGAAAAGGUACAAGAACGAGCCCUCAGAUUCAUAUACAAUGAUUACACAUCUGAUUACCCAACACUUUUAUCUAAAUCAAUGUUGCCAACUCUUAAGCUUAGAAGGUUAAGGUCCAUUGCUAUAGAAACCCAUAAAAUUAUCCACAAGCAGGGUCCAAUGUAUCUACAUGACUUAGUGGUAAUAAAAGAACAUUCCUUUAACUUUAGAUAUAAGAUGAUGGCUGCUAUCCCAACUGUAAGAACUACAACAUAUGGGUGCAAUUCUUUCCGCUCCGGUGCCCCUAAACUCUGGAACUCCCUUCCACAACAUUUCAGGGAAGAAACUAAUUUUAAUUAUUUCAAGAGUUUAGUCCGGGCAUGGAGGGGAGAUAACUGCAAAUGCUCAUUUUGCAUAUAAGAAUGCUGUCAUAUAACAUGCUGUAAAAUGUCUUAAUCAAAGAUAUGUUGGAUGGGACCUCGCGAGCUUAGACUGCCUAGGCAGCUGGUCUCUUUCAAUGUGUCUUUGAUUUAAAUCAUGUUAAUUAAUUGUGACUUCUUUUGUUUUAUUUCCCAUGCUAAUUGCAUUGUCGUAUUACCUUGUGAUUCGUAUUUUCGAUUAACUUAUGCUAUAAAUUAUGCUAAUCUACCUACAUUCUAUAUAUAGUCUAAUGUCUUUCAACUGCCAAAUAUGUUUAUGUGAUUUUACUAUAAGAAUUAUUUAUUUGUUUCAAGUGUACAUACUGAAUAUUAUUAUUGGCAUGAACUGAUGUGUGUGAUAUAUUAGUUACAUAAAUUAUGCUAUUUCCAAAAGCUAUUCAUAGCUUAUGUUAAACUGUUGAUGCUAGUACCCGACAAUAAAUAAAUAUUGACUUGACUUGACUUGAGUGGGGACUUUGACUUUCGGUCCAGCCUAUCCAAGGUAAAAUUCCGCCCUGCAGCGAAGAACUAAUGGUCAAACCAAAUCAAAUGCUCCCACAUCCCGGGAACCCUAGGUAAGGUCCAUUUCAGCUAUAUUUUGCGCCAAGAUAAAACCACACUAUUCACCCGGCACUGCCAGGCCAUCUGGAAGGUAAAAACAAGGCCCAUUUCCCUGACUACAUGUAUCCCUGGACUGGGUCGGGGCGUGGUUACAAAUGACUGGUGCAUAACAUUCUAAAUGCAAUGUCAGAUUCACAUUGAGAGAAUUGCUCCCAUUUGUCCACAUUUUAUUUCCAUCAAUUGUGUCAAUGAAAGCAGAUAGAUCAGAUAUAAUGCACAGUAAAGAUUUUCCUUUUCUUUUUGUAAUAUAUCUUGAAGAAUAUCAAAGACUGUGGGAACUGAAAGGUUUUAUACCAAGACUUACAGUCAUAGAACUUUAAGCAAUCGCAAACAAUGUGUGAAACUUGGUACAGAAAUAAACCCACUGAAACAUAUCUGUAAAGGAGUACUGCAAGGAUUCAUUUUAGGUCCUGUGCUUUUUAAUAUAUUUAUCAACGAUAUUUUCAACUUUAUACAUAGAAGCAAUCUGUAUAAUUAUGCUGAUGAUAAUACUCUAUCAUAUAGCGACAAAAACAUAGACAACGUUGUCCAAACUUUGGAGUCGGAUAGUAAUAUAUUAAUACAAUGGUUCUCAGAUAACCAUAUGAAAGCCAACCCCGAAAAAUUUCAAGCCAUUGCAAUAGGACAGAAAACUAAGGACCAAAAUAUAACCUUUAACUUGAAUGAGACAACUAUAAAAUAUGAAGACAGUGUCAAACUCUUGGAUGUCACAAUAGACUUCAAACUUAAAUUUGAAGUCCAUAUUUCAAGCAUUUGCAAGAAAGCCUCAAGACAGCUUAAUGUUUUAAAGUGAAUAGGUCAUAACCUUUGUAAACUAGGAAAAUUAAACAUAUAUUACUCAUUUAUCAUAUCAAGUUUCAAUUUCUGUCCAAUUACUUGGCAUUUUUGUGGCGAGGUGCAUACUAAGAAGCUUGAAAAAGUACAAGAACGAGCCCUCAGAUUCAUAUACAAUGAUUACACAUCUGAUUACCCAACACUUUUAUCUAAAUCAAUGUUGCCAACUCUUAAGCUUAGAAGGUUAAGGUCCAUUGCUAUAGAAACCCAUAAAAUUAUCCACAAGCAGAUUUCAAUGUAUCUACAUGACUUAGUGGUAAUAAAAGAACAUUCCUUUAACUUUAGAUAUAAGAUGAUGGCUGCUAUCCCAACGGUAAGAACUACAACAUAUGGGUGCAAUUCUUUCCGCUCCGGUGCCCCUGAACUUUGGAACUCCCUUCCACAACAUUUUAGGGAAGGAACUAAUUUUAAUCAUUUUAAGAGUUUAGUCCGGGCAUGGAGCGGAGAUAACUGCAAAUGCUCAUUUUGCAUAUAAGAAUGCUGUCAUAUAACAUGCUGUAAAAUGUCUUAAUCAAGGAUAUGUUGGAUGGGACCUCGCGAGCUUAGACUGCCUAGGCAGCUGGUCUCUUUCAAUGUGUCUUUGAUUUAAUUCAUGUUAAUUAAUUGUGACUUCUUUUGUUUUAUUUCCCAUGCUAAAUGCAUUGUCGUAUUACCUUGUGAUUCGUAUUUUCGAUUAACUUAUGCUAUAAAUUAUGCUAAUCUACCUACAUUCUAUAUAUAGUCUAAUGUCUUUCAACUGCCAAAUAUGUUUAUGUGAUUUUACUAUAAGAAUUAUUUAUUUGUUUCAAGUGUACAUUCUGAAUAUUAUUAUUGGCAUGAACUGAUGUGUGUGAUAUAUUAGUUACAUAAGUUAUGCUAUUUAUUUAUAAUGUCGGUCAAAAGCUAUUCAUAGCUUAUGUUAAACUGUUGAUGCUAGUACCCGACAAUAAAUAAAUAUUGACUUGACUUGACUUGACUUGAUGAGGGAAGGCAGGAAAAGUACCAGUCUUAUAGUCUGGUAAUGUUAACAAAAAAUGUUUAAAACACCUUUUUUUACUCAUGAUUUUCCAAUAUGAUAUUAUGUGUAUUGUGAUCCUAAAAUUGGACUUUUUUUCUUUAUUUGAUUUUAAGGAAUAUUUAACUGCUUCAGAAUUUGAAAUAAUAUCGUGGCAGUAAAGCAAACCACAAAGUAUGUUUUAAUAUAUUUUGCCUAAUACUAUCGUACAGGCCAUCCAUAUAGCAUACUUUUGUUGUAAAAAAACAUCUUAAUAUUUGCACAAUAGGUUUUAAAACGGAUUUUUUGAAGGUGAUCAACAAAAGAAAGAUUUUUCAUAGAAUUAUGAUUUAAUUGCAGUAUGUACUCGUGGCAAAAUGGUGUUCGAGCGUUGGCGAAUAAGGAUUUGCUUGCAGCGUUGAAGAACGAUAAUAUGCAAAGAACAGAAAGAAAGGUUCUCUUAACAUAGAAAGUAAAAAAAUAAUGAAGUUCACACUACAGUUGACAAUCUGGAUGUGUUUCCUUUGUUAUUUGAACAUGACUUAUUUUAACUUACUUAACUUGUAUGCACUACAAUAAUGAAUAUCUAUAUUAAUAGUAAUAGUCAGAGUCUUCAGUUAACUUGGAUGUGUUCCAUUUGUUUCAUCCACAUACUUAAAAUUUGUCUUGUAACUACAUGUAUUUUUAUGAGGUUAUCAUAACAUUUUCUUAUUUGGGGAUAGUACAUGUAUGCAUUUAUGUUGACACUAUGUGUACCUUCAUUCUCUUCAUUUUUCUGUACGAAACAAGACCAAAUGUGUCAUUUUAGUUUAACCAUUUUAAACUGUUUUUAUUAUACUCUUCAUUGAAUAGCCAUUCAUAUAUUAUCAAACAUUUUAACAAAUUUAAAUGUGUUGUUAUUUUGAUUAUAUUGUAUCGGUGUUACAGCUAGGUACAUGUCCAUUCCUAGCCUUCAAGAUAAAACAGAUAUAUUCGUUGUUGUAAAAGGUGUUCUUUAUGCAUAAACAUAUAGAGUGGCUACAGAGAACUCAACACUUAGCAUUUUUCUUACAAAAUAUCUAAGGGUAGUACUGCAUGUGAUUGUGACAUUCAGUGUACCUCAUGUUAUAUAAUACAUUAUAUAUGAUCAAUAAAACAGAUUAAGAACCAAA